rnacentral:lncRNA from 1 species
CAGAGUUUGAAGAUUAUACAAAAUCAAGAACAAAAAAGUGCCGCAAUUGUUUUUUUUUUUUUUGGGCGACACCUAAUGCAAAGUGUAAGGCAUUAGAAUUCACCUGUCCCAAAGAAAAGUGCAAUAAAUGAACUGCAGCCAGGUCCUCCAUCUAACCAAAGGAUAAGAGGAUCCGAUUGAGAAUUUGACUCUGACUUGAUAAAAACGUAGAAGAGCUGCACAUCCUCUGAUUCACCAACUCCAAUAUACCUGAUAACAUCAGAAAAUGGAUCAACUAUUUCUUCUAAGUUUUGAUCAAU